CGCACGCCUUCGUUGCACCGUGGGAAUCGAAGCUUUCCGCAUGUUUCGUUCUUGAAAAUAAUGGACACGUCAACGUGUGAAACGGGAGUGAAACUUUUUUUUUUUGAAUUGAAACAUUUUGAGGAGUUUGUAUAGAAAGAGAGGAAUGAAUUCAAAGAAUUAAAAGGAAUCAGGAAGAGAGUAAUAUGUAGAACUGGUGAAAGAGAUUUAAGGGACGCGGACAUUGAGACGAGUCGAGUUAUUUUAAAUCCGAAAAUCAACAACAGAGUGCGCAGUUGUCUCUCUACCCGUAAAAAGUUCGCCAACUUUAUCUCGUACGCACGGAAUGCGAAAACACGAUGGAAGAUAGAGAAGAGGUUUUGUCCUGUUUGAAAACGUUUCCUUGAUCGAGCCGACGAGACCUCUCUUCAUCCCUCUCCUCCAUGUUGAAUCAACGCGACCAGAUCGCCUUGGCCGAGCAGGAAAACAGUCUGAUCUCAUCUUGUAAAUAUGAACGUUACUUCUCUCGUUGCCUCUCUCGAGCGCCAAAUGGCGGAGAUUUUAUGGAGAUGGCCGACAAACGUUCAUGGAGGAGAAACAACGAUUCGGAAUCCCAUCGAUUUCCAUUAAACUCGAUUCUGUGAUCGUUUCGAGAGAGGGAGAGAGACGAACGGAAGUAUCGGAGGCGGAAGUUCGAAGGCUUGGAGAAAUAGAGGUUAUAAUCAAAAUAUAUUGUAUGUUCGUUGAUGAAGGUUUUACGAACGCCUGUAAUGUGAAUGCGGCCUAACCUUAGUGAAAAAUGUUUCUUCCUUUUUCUUUAAAAUUCGAUUGGAUCACGUGUAUGGAAUUUCAUCUCUGGUGAUACGGUGAUAAUGGUUAAUGGAUAUUUUCUUGUAAAAUUUUUUAUAAACAGGAUGUAUUGAUACGUAUAUAUAUCUGGUUAGAAAUUAAGAAGAAAUUAGAUAGGUGAAUUCUCUUCCAAUGGGAUAACGAAAGAAGAAGAAAAUUUCUAAUUUUUGUAGGAAUUUUAAACUAUGAAUACAAAUUCGUUUGUAAUUUGUUAUUUAUAAUUUUGUACGUGGAAAAAGAUAUUUGCGCGUUGCGUAAAAUGUUAUUAUUCGAUGUAUAUAUAUAAUUUGUCAUUACAUGAAAUAUCUUUUGAAAAUAUAAUACGAUAAAACAGUGUAAAACAGUACGCGGCGAUUGAAAUGGUGUGCAGAGAUGUUUCUAAGAUUUCACCGGGAAAUUAUUUGGUCGUUGACCCAAUAGAAGUGAAAUAGAAAUAAGUGUGUGUCAUUGAACCUGUGUGCAAGAAUUAUGUCAUGUCUUCCUCCUAGCGAGAAAUAAAUUAUUACCAAUAAACGUAUAUAAAGUA